GGCAUAGUACUUUAAAGAAAAGGUUAGCUUUGCAAGCUAGAAUUAGAGGAGUUCUCUUUAUGCCU
rnacentral:tRNA from 1 species